rnacentral:rRNA from 1 species
AUUGAACGCUGGCGGCAUGCUUUACACAUGCAAGUCGAACGGUAACAGGAUGCUUGCACCGCUGACGAGUGGCGAACGGGUGAGUAAUGCGUCGGAACGUGCCGAGUAGUGGGGGAUAACGCAGCGAAAGUUGUGCUAAUACCGCAUACGUACUGAGGUAGAAAGUGGGGGACCUUCGGGCCUCACGCUAUUCGAGCGGCCGACGUCUGAUUAGCUAGUAGGUGAGGUAAAGGCUCACCUAGGCGACGAUCAGUAGCGGGUCUGAGAGGAUGAUCCGCCAAACUGGGACUGAGAAACGGCCCAGACUCCUACGGGAGGCAGCAGUGGGGAAUUUUGGACAAUGGGCGAAAGCCUGAUCCAGCCAUGCCGCGUGUCUGAAGAAGGCCUUCGGGUUGUAAAGGACUUUUGUCAGGGAGGAAAUCCCUAGUGCUAAUAACACUGGGGGAUGACAGUACCUGAAGAAUAAGCACCGGCUAACUACGUGCCAGCAGCCGCCGUAA